GAUGAACGCUGGCGGCGUGCCUAAUACAUGCAAGUCGAGCGAACGGACGAGAAGCUUGCUUCUUUGAUGUUAGCGGCGGACGGGUGAGUAACACGUGGAUAACCUACCUAUAAGACUGGGAUAACUUCGGGAAACCGGAGCUAAUACCGGAUAAUAUUUUGAACCGCAUGGUUCAAAAGUGAAAGACGGUCUUGCUGUCACUUAUAGAUGGAUCCGCGCUGCAUUAGCUAGUUGGUAAGGUAACGGCUUACCAAGGCAACGAUGCAUAGCCGACCUGAGAGGGUGAUCGGCCACACUGGAACUGAGACACGGUCCAGACUCCUACGGGAGGCAGCAGUAGGGAAUCUUCCGCAAUGGGCGAAAGCCUGACGGAGCAACGCCGCGUGAGUGAUGAAGGUCUUCGGAUCGUAAAACUCUGUUAUUAGGGAAGAACAUAUGUGUAAGUAACUGUGCACAUCUUGACGGUACCUAAUCAGAAAGCCACGGCUAACUACGUG
rnacentral:rRNA from 1 species